rnacentral:rRNA from 1 species
UACAGAGGGCUCGAGCGUUGUUCGGAUUCAUUGGGCGUAAAGCGUGCGCAGGCGGUUUGUUAAGUCUGCUGUGAAAUCCCCGAGCUCAACUUGGGAAUUGCAAUGGAUACUGGCAAGCUGGAGUAUGGUAGAGGAAGGUGGAAUUCCCGGUGUAGCAGUGAAAUGCGUAGAGAUCGGGAGGAACACCAGUGGCGAAGGCGGCCUUCUGGACCAAUACUGACGCUCAUGCACGAAAGCGUGGGGAGCAAACAGG